CGAAUACUCCGCCGGCGACCGGCGCACGGGUGCGUAACGCGUAUGCAACCUACCCUUUAACAGGGGCAUAACACUGAGAAAUUGGUACUAAUUCCCCAUAACAUUCGAGAAGGCAUCUUCUUGGGUUAAAAACUCCGGUGGUUAAAGAUGGGCAUGCGUUGUAUUAGCUAGUUGGUGAGGUAACGGCUCACCAAGGCAACGAUACAUAGGGGGACUGAGAGGUUAACCCCCCACAUUGGUACUGAGACACGGACCAA
rnacentral:rRNA from 1 species